rnacentral:rRNA from 1 species
ACGCUCGACACCUAGGAGGCAGCAGUGGGGAAUAUUGCACAAUGGGGGAAACCCUGAUGCAGCGACGCCGCGUGAGCGAAGAAGUAUUUCGGUAUGUAAAGCUCUAUCAGCAGGGAAGAAACUGACGGUACCUGACUAAGAAGCACCGGCUAAAUACGUGCCAGCAGCCACGGUAAUCUGAGCGGGCUGGCAAGGC